AUCAAUGAUCUGAGAGAGUGCAGUGAAGUCCAAAACGCAAGACUCUUGUCCGAUUACAUUUAUAAAGUAAAAAAUCCCACGUGAAAAAUCAUGUUUUAUAAAUUUAUGUUUUUCUAUUUCGUAAAGGAUUACGCCCAUUUACCUGGAAAUACUCAGGAUUUGGUAACACCUUUUAUUUUAAAACACCUAGAACUCCACAUCUUUGAGAAUUGCUGGGGAGGGUGAGAUGUGCAGAGGCAGGUACCUGAAGAAAAGAAGGCGAGGGCUAGUGUCUUAGUCAUCUAGUGCUGCUAUAACAGAAAUACCACAAGUGGAUGACGUUAACAAAGACAAAUUUAUUUCCUCACAGUAAAGUAGGCUAAAAGUCCAAAUUCAGGGCGUCAGCUCCAGGGGCAAGCUUUCACUCUCUGUUGGCUCUGGAGGAAGGUCCUUUUCCUCAAUCUUCCCCUGGACUAGGAGCUUCUCUGCACAGGAACCCCAGGUCCAAAGGACUUAACAUGCUCUGUUCCUGGCACUGCUUUCUUGGUGGUAUGAUGUCCCCUCACCCUCACACUCUGUUCUCUGCUGGGUUCUCUCUUUUGUAUCCUAAAAGAAACUGGCUCAAUAUACAACCCAGUCCUGUAGAGUCCUUCCUCAUCAACACAACUGCCACCUAUCCCCCCUCAUUAACAUCAUAGAGGCAGGGUUUACAACAGAUAGGAAAAUCACAUCAGGUGACAAAGUGGUGGACAGUCACUUAAUACUGGGAAUCAUGGCUCAGCCAAAUUGAUACACACGUUUUGGGGGGGACGCAAUUCAAACCCUGGCAGCUAGCGUUCUCUACUGCAGACUAAGAAAUUACCUUGAAGAGAUAAUGUGGGUCAUGUAUGAUCACAAACUGUAGAAUUGGAUUUCAUUUCUCUUGGUUCCCAAGACAAUCCUCAAGGCCUCUGGGGCUUUAAUGGCCAGAAGGCCUGCAGUUUGGGUAGUGAUCAGAUUCUGGGCACCAAGGGACACGUGAAAGCAGUAUCACAUAUUGUAUUUCCAUUUUGGGAGAUAGAAAUUUUACCUCAACUUCCCUUUUUACUAUUAUUUGUCCAGUAGCCAGAAAAUGAAGAGAAGGCCUCUCCUAUAUUUACCAAAUUACCCAUUGCCUUCUUAGUCAGGGCUUCUAGAAGUUAGGGUGGAGAUUUUUAUUUGUCCUGUCGUUUGGGCAAUAAAAGGGGAGGGGAUGCCUCAUUCAGCCAAUCUUUGGCUCCUAAAACGUCAGAAAGCAAUGCUAUUUACUUAGUCUCUCGGCUACUAAGUGCUGGGGUGGCCCAUGUUGACUCAAAUCUGAGUCCUUGCAGCUAGGUGGGGCUCUAUGGAGCUGUUAGUCAUGUGAGGUUGCCAGGGCAACUUAAUGUCUUAUGAGCUGGAAUGCUUCAAGUACAAAGGGGAGACUACAAGGGCACAUUACAACUUAUAGUCAUGUGUUCAAUAACAUGUCAUCUUUUGGUAAUGGGGCUUUUAUUUUUAUUUUAUUUUGUGGGAUUGGAAGAUCAGAAGCCAGAAAUUAGCUGAAGAAGAUAAAGAAAAGAAAAAUUAAAGGGGGUUGGGGGUGGUAUUUCUAUUCCUUAUGUGGGCAAUGGUUAAACACGGAGAACAUCUGGUCCUGGAUCAGGUCUCUGCAGCCCUGCUUUUAAUUACCCCGUCAUUUGGUCUCAUGCUAAAUUAGUGACUGUGGGAGCAACUCAGAUCUCCAAACCGACAGGCCCGGAGAGCUCGACUUAGCCUGCCACAUAGUCAGAGAGGAAACACGAAGCUUCCGGUUUCAUAUUUAAACCAGAGAUUGACUCAUAAUUGUAGCUGUCAGGAGGGUGAUGGAGACAUUAUGUAAUCUGGUUCUUAUGGCGAUGUGUGUUUAAGGUUUCUGCUCUGUAAAUUCCAGAGGAUAUUUUGUGCCCAUUGACGGAGAACUCCUUGGCUGCUCUGUGGCGUGCUGUGCAGGGUAACGACAGUGCUAACCAUUAGGGGUUCCUAAGUCCUGAAUCCAAACAUGAAUGAAUUUCUUUCUGAAUGGCCCGCCUAGUUUUCCACAGACUUUUAAAUGUGGGUGGAGUUAGGCAAAAUCUGGUAAGCUGUGAAGAGGCAGUAUGCUGGCCUGAUAUGGACAUUUUAUGAUAAAGACAAACCAUUGAGGCCACAAAAAAAAAAUUUUUUUUCCUGAACCACAUAGUUUCUCUUACUAUUUCCCAUCAUUUUCAGCUUCAGAGGUUCUGGAAGUGGCACCAGAUUCUCUUGGAAACAAAAUGUUGAGUCAUGGAUCAUUUUUCAUAUUUCACUACUCUUGUUACUUUGCGAUGGGGCAAAUUUGUAGCGCACCAGGGAAGGCUUGAAGACAGACCCAGUGUUCGCUGCCACUAAAAAAAAAAAGUCAGAUGAGGCAGGUUAAUUUUAAUCUUAAAGGAAUGUGCUUUCUAUAGUUUUGCUACAAGGAGACUUGGGUUUUGAUUUGAUCAUUCUCCACAUCCAAGUUAUUUUAAGUUUUACCCAUGUGAUAAGGAGGAUUUGUUAACGGGGAAUAGUUGUUGACAGAGAGAAGUUGCUGUUACUGGAAGAAUAGUAGUAAAGACUAAAUCAAAAAUUUACUUGGAUCCACAAUCAAUGUCCAUGAAAGCAGCAGUCAAGAAAUCAGAUGACGUAUUGCAUUGGGCAGAUCUGCUGCAAAAGGCAAGUGUUUAAAGAAAAAGAUGUCACCUUGAAGACUAAGGUGCACCUGACCCACGCCAUGAUAUUUUCAGUCACCUCAUAUGCACACGAAAGCUGGACAAUGAAUAAGGGGGAUCAGAGAAGAACUGAUGUCUUCGAAUUAUGGCAUUGGUGAAGAAUAUUGAUAUACCAUGGACUACCAGAAGAACAAACACAUCUGUCUUGGAAGAAGUACAGUCAGAAUGCUCUUUAGAAGCAAGGAUGGUGAGAUUUUGUCUCAUGCACUUUGGAUAUGUUAUCAGGAGGGACCAGUCUCUGGAGAAGGACAUCAUGCUUGGUAAAGCAGAGGAUUGGCAAAAGAGAGACAGACCCUCCACGAGAUAGACUGACACAGUGGCUGCAACCAUGAGCUCAAGCACACCGAUGAUUGCGAGGAUAGUGCAGGACCGGGGAGCGUUUCAUUCUGUUGUACCUAGGGCUGUUACGAGUUGGAACAGACUCGAUGGCACCUAACAACAGCAGCACCAACAAAUCAAAUUCUAAAAAGUGAAAGUGGAGUGGGGAAUAACGGCGGUGGGAAGUGGGAAGACUGAAACCCUCUAAACACUCCUUGCCACUGGUCUGUCUGGUCACAAGUUCUUACCUCUGUUUCUACACCUUUCCUCCUUCUCUUAGGGAUUCUCCCAGUCCACCAGUAUUUGGGGGGUGCUGGUUCUGCCUUUUCAUGCCCAUCAAAGAAGAAAAUGUUUUUAUAAAGUAGUUUUUAUAAAGUAGUUUUAACUAAAUGUGUGAAAACGUGUACCUAAAAUUUAUGUUUUUAGUGAAAAUGUGUAAUUUCUCUUAGGUACAUUUAAAGAAUGGACAAUAAAGAGAGAGCAAUGCUCAGCCUCCCAAGAAUGUGUUAUAAGUGCUAGAAGACAUGCAAAGAGUGAGAUAUAUAGUUUGGCCUAUGGGGCAUAGACAUUUCUGAUCACACUUGAAGCCCUUGUAUCUGCAUAGAAAGUUGCUUCUGUUCAAGGGAAAAAUGGAAUGUAUGGCAAUCGCAGUUGAUGUUUUGGACAGAUGGAUGGGAGAGGUCAAGUGGGAAUGAUGAUGCUUGAGGAAGGAACUCUCACAGAACUCCUUGCUUUGCAGGAUUGUACUUUAACCCUGAGAGAUGGAUGUAGGUCUAAUUUAAAAUACUGUAAACACGCACUCUCACACACAAAACUCAAACCUUCUUUUAGUCAAAAGUGAUUGUAGAAUCUUCUAAUAGUUACCCAUUUUGGUUAGUUUCUAGUUAGUUUCAGGUUUAAUUUCUAGAGGUUUAUAAUUUAUGUACUUACUCUAUCUGUCAACCAGUAUUUGUUUACUGGGUUCCUCUUCUGGGCAAGACACUGUACUAUUCACUGUAUUCAAUGAAAGGUAAGGCAAGGCCCUCCGAUGUAGUCUGUGUAUAUACAGAUAUACUUGUGAAUUGAAUCUGUUUUGUAAAGAGUAUAGACUCUCUGAUGUUUGACAAACCUGGGUUUGACUCUUGACUUUUGAACUUGGGCGAAUUACUUAAUUGCUCAGGGGUCAAAGGAGACAGUAUAUAUAAAAUAUUUAGGACCUUGCUGGUACAUGGCAAGUGCCCAAUAAAUGCUGGAUAUCAUCAUCAUCAUCAUCUGUAUCAUCACCACCAUCAUCAUAAUCAUUAUUUAUACUGUAAUUUUCUGGAGGUGGGGGCAGAUUUUUGUUAUAAUCUAUUUUUCUAGAAAAAUGAACAACUAGGAUAGCUGGAUAUUUUUCUUUGGAACAUGAGUGGGUAAUUUUCACUUUGAAAGAAAAGGUAAGGAUUAGCACUUGCAUGCCCUUCCCCUCCCUGAAAAUGUUUGUCUAAGGUCUUCCUAUGAAAGGAAUAGUUUGCCUUUUUGUGAAGGACUACCCUUGAUUUCAGCUUUGGUUACCCUGCUCCAAAUAUCCAAUUAAUAAGAGAAAGUUGAGCUGUUUUAAUAAAAAUAAUAUAUUUAAUAUACUCAUGUAUUUGUACACAUAGAAAUAUAUGCUUAAAGGGAUAAUAUAAAAUUUCCCCUAUUCUUUCACAGUCUCAGGCUGUGAAAUCUUUAUUAGGAAACAGCGCUACUAUGAUGACUCGAUUUCUCCUCUCCCAUAAGGCUUGAGUUUUAUUUGAGUAUUAUAUAGUCACUACGGCUUGGUACGUUAUCGUAUGACUGACGGAUGAUGCAGGGAUGGAUAAUUUCAUGACCUGUCUAGCCUGAGUUUAUUCAUUUUCCUAGUCAUUGAAAUGAAAAGACUUGAUGUGACUCCUGUUGAGAUACUUCCAGAGGCAACCAUCUUCGUAACGGAUUUUCUCCAUCAGAGAAUUGGGUACUGAUUUGCUGGUUUUUAUUUGCCCUCCACUAGAACUUUCAGAUGCGCUAGGGAGCCUUUUCCAAUCAAAGACCUUGAAGUUAUAGAAAACAAUAAUUAAAGACAGCAAAAUAACAUUAUCCUGGAGGCUUGAGGAAACCAAACUGAGCAUUCGAUCUGGUCACCAAUAGGACGUUUCUCCCUGCUUGUAUUUUCUGACUCCUCUGUCCAACCCCAAGCUUUCAUUGUUGAGCAAGAAGGACUAGCCAGAAGGAAUAAUUGUCAGAGCUAAUACAUUAUUUUCAAUUAAGAAGGGUUAAUACAUUUUUAUUUAUUCCAUGACCAUUCAGUCCAUAAAUUGAAAAUGGCUAAAUGUAAAUAAGUUGAGAAUUUGCUUUUCUUUAAACUUUGCCAAUUAUACUUAAGAAAGAGACUCAAGUUAUCCCCAAACUUUUUGAGAACUUUAGUUGUCAACACAUAAAAUUCAAAUUACUUAGCAAGAGUUCCAAGGCCCACUCCAUCUAGUUCCAUCUUACCCUUCUAACUUUAUUUCCCACUACUCCACUUCACAUACUCUAUGCUCUGGACGAUUUAAAUAAUUCUGUGUUUUCAUAGCUGCUUUUCUUAGGCAUUAUCUUCAAGUUCCAGCUCCACAAAGCCUUCCUUUAUUAUCCUUGAUUAGAAUUAAUGAUCUCAAACUGAACUUCCGGAAACACUGGUGGAGUAGUGGUUAAGUGCUAUGGCUACUAACCAAAAGGUCGGCAGUUCAAGUCCACCAGGAACUCCUUGGAAACUCUAUGGGGCAGUUCUGCUCUGACCUAUAGGGUCACUAUGAGUCGGAACCGACUCGACAGUAACGGGUUUGUUGGUUUGGUUGGAACUGAACUUCCAUAGCACUCAAUUUAUAAUUUCUCUCAUGGCAUUUAGCAGUCUACCUUCUGUUACACAGCUUUAUAUUAGUUAUUCAACCCCUUAUUAUCUGGAAGUUUCUUGGUGGUGGAAUCUAUGUUUCAUUCAUAUUGUGUCCACAGAGUGCUAGCACUCUGCUUGUCCAUUCUAGAAAUUCCACAAAUAUUUGUAAAAGAAAUGAAUGACCUCUAGCUACAACAUUCAAAAUUGCUAAAUUUCCCUUGAGAGCUCAAGAGAAAACUUCAUUUUUUGCUGAAAUGAAGAUGGUGUUCUGACUCCUUUCAUGGAUAACACUGUUGUUUCUCCAUAAAUGGAUUGACCGAGUGCCCACCUCCCCGCUCUGAGCAUCUGCUCAUCACUUCUCCCCGGCCUCCCAUCCUCAGACCUCAGAAAGCUUCAGAAUCUAGCCCUGGGAAGCGCCGGCCAUGUCAGGCAAUGGGGAAUUGUUUUGUUUCUCACUAUUACUGUGCAAGGGAUGAUGGUAAGGGUGAGGUGAGUAAGUUCAUUUGCCGGGCUACGCAUAGUUCUGUGGCUUAAACAUUUUUUAUAGAACUGCCACAAGAUCUACUUUUUGUUCAUGGUAUUUUAUCAUCUUUUCAUUCCUUUCUGGUUGAUUUGUCAACUCUAGGCAGUGACUUUGAUUUGAAUGGGGUGCUGGAAUAAUGGGCUCAAUCAAAAGACUUGGGUUCCAAUGUUGGCUCUGCCACUGGUUAUGUGAUUUUAGGAAAAUAUACACAAGAAUUAAUUUCCUCAUCUGUAAAAUGUAGAUAAUAAACUUCUCAACACAGUGAUUGCAACAAUGAGCUCAAACAUAGCAACAAUGGUGAGGAUAACAGGACCGGGCAGUGUUUUAUUCCGUUGUAUAUAGGGUUGCUAUGAGUCAGAACUGACUUGAUGGCACCUAAGAACAACACCACCACCUGUUUCACAGCAUUGUUCUGAAGAUCCAGAGGAGGUUAGUUUAUAAGAAACGAUAUAAAAAACUACUAAGUGUUUUACUUCUGUAAGGGGUUAUUAUCAAAGAGUGUGCUCAGCAGCUAAGCGAAAGGUUGAAGGCUUGAGUCAACCUAGAGGCACCUUGGAAGAAAGACCUGGUGAUCUACUUGCGAAAAAUCGGCCAUUGAAAACCCUAUGGAGUACAGUUCUACCUGACGCACGUGGGAUUGCCAUGAGUCAGAGCCGACUCAAUGGCAACUGUUUUUUUAUUAUAACAAUUAACGUACUAGAGGUUUCCUUUGGGGAUAACCAUUCAAUUCAUGAUCCCUUUUUGGAUUGUCGUUACUUAAUAUAUGUAGUUAGGCAAAGCAGAGUAAAAAAAAAAAAAGGUAUUUGGAAUUCUGGUUCUACCACUUACUAGCUCUGUGACUCCAGGCAAGUAAACCUACUGCAUUUUUAUACAAAUAAUGCAUGCCUUCUGUGUUUGUUUGCCAACCACUCCCACCCGACCAUGAGAUAUUUUCAUAAGUGCUGCUAUGCCAAUUUUUUUUACAUUUUGCUGUGAAAAAUUAGCAUAGUGCCCUUAUGAAAAUACCUCAUGAGUUGAGGGAGCACUUGGCAAUCAAAGGUAGAAGGUGUGCAUUAUUUGCAUAAAAAUACGGUGCCCUCACCCAAACCUCAUUUUUCUCAGGUGUAAAUGGGGAUGAAAUACUGACUUCAUGUGGUUGUGAGAACUAUUGGUGUGGUGUCCUUGUACUAUGUCAGCUUCGCAAGGUUGAGCUGUUUUCCAAAAUUUUCUUUCCUGAGUGUUUCUAGUUGGGGUGGGCCACAGCAGGAUUUUUUUUUUUUUUUAAAUGAUGUUUUAUUGUGUUUUUGAUGAAAGUUUAACAUCAAAUUAGGUUUCCUUUUAACAAUUUCUAUACAUAUUGUUCAGUGACAUUGACUACAUUUUUCACAAUGUGCCGACACUCUCAUUAUUUCUAUUCUGGUUGUUCUAUUUCCAUUAAUCUUUUAAUUGUUUCCCUGUACCCCCCUUACUUUCUCACCUUUGCUUUAGGGUAACUGUUGACCAUGUGGCCUUGCUUAGAAGAUUUUUUUUAAAGGAGCACAGUACUUGUGGGUGAUAUGGUUUACUUCAUGAGCCAAUCUGUUAUUUAGCUGAAAGGAGACUUCUGGGAGUGGUUUCAAUUCAAAGUUUAAAAGGUAUCUUGGGAUCAUACUCCCAGGGAUUACUUUAGUCUCUACCGGUCCAGUAAGUCUGGUCUUUUUUAAGAUUUUGAGUUUCGUUCUACAUUUUUCUCCCAUUCUUUCCGGGACCAUCUAUUGUGUCCCUGGUCAGAACAGUUGGUGGUGGUAGCUGGACACUGCCUAGUUCUCUCAAGAGACAUUUUUGCAGUAGACUUGGAGGUUUGAAGCUAAGGAGCAGCCAUUUUGUAUUUUAUCCUUGGAAAAUCAGGACAGGUGGUCUUGUAGCUCUCACACUAGCACACAUUGUGGCUUUCCGUUAGAUCAUUCUUUGGAGUGGGAUAGCAGCCUGGCCUGAAACUGCUCCACCUUCCCUGGGUUCCUCCUUUAAGUUCUCAGACUCCUGGGCGGCGUUAUGUGGCUAGCUCUGUGAUAAAGGGUCUGGCUUCUUUAGUCAGGAUGCCCACAUCUUCAAGGUCAGAGGCAGCAAGAACAAAAUUGGGUUCCAUCUGUCCUUGUGGGUUCCAACUUGUACUUGCUCAUCUGUAGUUUAUAUGUCAUCUUCCUUUCCGCCUGCCUGCCCGCCUGCCUUGUGGGCUUCAAGCUCCAAUAUCAGACACAAAGGCAACAGCCUUACGGAGACUGCUUAACCAGCCUCCACAAUUGUGUAAGAUCAAAUCUCCAUAAUAAGUCCACCCCACUCCACCACCAAAAUACAUACAUACACACACACACACACACACACACACACCCUAAGGGGUCUGCUUUUCUGAUUAAACCCUGACUGAGGUAAAUUAUAAUCAAUAUUGUCAUCCAGAUGUCAGCUGGGUUUUCUAGGUAUUUGACAUCUAGAUAAGAUUGCCUCAAGGCUCUAUCCAAAGAUCUCCCUAAGAUUUAUACAAAUUCCUGUGGAGUCUAAAUUUUCUUGAUCACUUCUGGCUCAUUAAGCCCUUCCUAAUUUGCACAAAAGACUUGCUUCCACAAAGCACUGUGAGUAGAAUUUCCUUUACUAAAGAUUUUGGUGUCAUGGGCAGACAGAAGAGGGGUUCAUGUUGCAACAAAAAUAAUUUGUAAUUUAAUUUCAUGCACCCCCGUUUGUAAAAUAUUCCUCCACCAUCUCCUCCUUAGAGAAUAUCUCCAGUUCUAUCACUCUGUAAAAACCUUGGCCUUACAACAUCUCCCCGGCUGCUCUCUCUGUCUUCCCCUUUUUCUCUUCUGCUUCCCCUUUCUCCCAGUUCCCCCACCCUCUUGUUUUUAAGGGCAGAGCAGCUUAACGAUCUCUUUGUUUUUUGCUUGGACUAUUGCAGGUAUAUUCUUGCCCUCCUGAUCUCACCUUUGAAUCCCAAUAAUGAUUUUCUAGAAGAAUUAUCCCUGAGAAAAAUUCUGUUGCAAUUGUUAUGGAAAAAAAAAAAGGAUUUUUUUUUUUUUUUUAACUGAUUAACAACACUAACAAGAGCAUGAAGCACAUAGGCAGUGCUUACUGUAGCCAGGCUCCACCAGCAAUUUGUCUUAUCUCAUCUGAUUCUCACGACGAUCUAGUGAGGUGGUUUGAUGUUAUUACUUCUAUUUUAAUAAUGUUAAAAUAAAACUUUAGAAAUAAUUUUUAAAAAGCAAUUAUAAGACCCAAUAUCUAUUGAGUGCUUAUGUGUCAGGCACUAUAUUGUCCACUUGAUGUACAUUUUUUUUUUUCAGUGACUCCUCAUGACUCUACAGGCUAAAUAUGAUUAACCCUAUUUUACAAAUAAGGAAAUUGAGACACAGUGAAAACCUUAUGAAUAGCAGCAGAACAUUGUCUGACAAAGUGCCAGAAGAUGAGCCCCUCAGGUUGAAAGGCACUCAAAAUACGACUGAGGAAGAGCUGCCUCUUCAAAGUAGAGUUGACCUUGAUGACGUGGAUGGAGUCAAGCUUUCAGAACUUUCAUUUGCUGAUGUGGCAUGACUCAAAAUGAGAAGAAACAGCUGUAAACAUCCAUUAAUAACUGGAACCUAAAAUGUACAAUCAACACGACGGCAUUGGGUUUGGGUAAAAUGUACAAAGUAUAAAUCUAGGAAAACUGAAAAUGGUCAAAAAUGAAACGGAAUGCUUGAAGAUCGAUAUCCUGGGUGUUAAUGAGCUAAACCAAACUGGUAUUGACCAUUUUGAAUCAGACAAUCAUAUGGCCUACUACGCCUGGGAUGACAAAUUGAAGAGGCAUGGUGUUUCAUUCAUCAUCAAAAAGAACAUUUCAAGAUCUAUCCCGAAGUACAGUGCUGUCAGUGAUAGGAUAAUAUCCAUAUGCCUACAAGGAAGACGAGUUAAUACGGCUAUCAUUCAUAUUUAAGUACCAACCACUAAUGCCAAAGAUGAAGAAAUUGAAGACUUUUACCAACUUCGGUAGUCUGAAAUUGAUCAAACAUGCAAUCAAGAUGCAUUGAUAAUUACUGGUGAUUGGAAUGUGAAAAUUGGAAACAAAGAAGGAUCGGUAGUUGGAAAAUAUGACCUUGGUGAUAGAAACAAUGCUGGAGACCACAUGAUAGAAUUUUGCAAGACCAAUGACUUCUUCAUUCCAAAUACCUUUUUUCAACAACAUAAAUGGUGACUAUGCAUAUGGACAUCACCAAAUGGAAAACACAGGAAUCAAAUUGACUACAUCUGUGGAAAAAGAUGAUGGAGAAGCUCAAUGUCAUCAGUCAGAAUAAGGCAAGGGGCCAGCUGUGGAACAGACCACCAAUUGCUCAUAUGCAAGUCCAAGCUGAAGUUGAAGAAAAUUAGAACAAGUCCACAAGAGCCAAAAUACAACCUUGAGUAUAUCCCACCUGAAUUUGGAGGCCAAUUCUCAAGAAUAGAUUUGAUGCAUUGAACACUAAUGACUGAAGACCAGACGAGUUGUGGGAUGACACCAAGGACAUCAUACAUAAAGAAAGCAAAUGGCCGUUAAAAAGACAGGGAAAAAAGAAAAGACCAAAAUGGAUGUCAGAAAAGACUCUGAAACUUGCUCUUGAACAUAGAGUAGCUAAAGCAAAUGGAAGAAAUGGCAGAGUAAAAGAGCUGGACAGAAGAUUUCAAAGGGUGGCUCAGGAAGAAGUAUUAUAGUGAAAUGUGCAAAGACCUGUAGUUAGAAAACCAAAAGAGAAGAACAUGCUUAGCAUUUCUCAAGCUGAAGGAACUGAAGUAAAAACUCAAGCCUUGAGUUGAAAUUUUGAAGGGUACUGUAGACAAAAUAUUGAAUGAUGCAGGAAACAUCAGAAGACAAUGGAAGGAAUACACAGAGUCGCUGUACCAAGAAGAACCAGUUGAUGUUCAAACAGUUCAGGUGGUUGCAUGUGAUCUAAAGCCAAUGGUAUUGAAGGAAGAAGUCCAAGCUGCACUGAAGACACUGGCAAAAAACAUGGCUGCAGGAAUUGAUGAAAUACCGUAUGAGAUAUUUCUACAAAAGGAUGCGGCACUGGAGGUGCUCACUCAUCUAUGACAAGAAAUUUGGAAAACAGCUAUCUGACCAAAUGAGUGGAAGAGAUUCAUAGUUGUGCUUACUCCCAAGAAAGGUGAUCCAACAGAAUGCAGAAAUUAUCAAACAAUAUCAUAAAUAUCACAUGCAAGUGAAAUUUUCCUGAAGUUAAUUCAAAAGUGGUUAUAGCUAUAGAUGAACAGAGAACUGCUAGAAAGCUGAGCCAGAUUCAGAAGAGGACAUGGAAUGAGGGACAUCAUUGCUGAUGUCAGAUGGAUCCUGGCUGAAAGCAGAGAAUACCAGAAAGAUGUUUACCUGUGUUUUAUUGACUAUGCAAAGGCAUUCAACUGUGUGGAUCAUAACAAAUUAUGGAUAACAUUGAGAAGGAUGGGAAUUCCAGAACACUUAAUUGUGCUCUUGAGGAAACUGUAGAUAGACCAAGAGGCAGCUGUUGGAAGAGAACAAGGGGAUACGUUGUGGUUUAAAGUCAGGGAAGUUGUGUGUCAGGGUGUUAUCUUUUCACCAUACUUAUUCAGUCUGUAUUCUGAGAAAAUAAUCUAAGAAGCUGGAUUAUAUGAAGAAGAAAGGGGCAUCAGGAUUGGAGGAUAUUCAUUAACAGUGUGCAAUAUGUAGAUGACACAACCUGGCUUGUUGAAGGUGAAGAGGACUUGAAGCACUUACUAAUGAAGAUCAAAGAUGACAGCCUUCAGUAGGGGUUACACCUCAACAUAAAACUUAAAAGAAAACAAAAAUCCUCACAAAUGGACUGACAAGCAAUGUCAUGAUAAAUGGAGAAAAGAAUGAAAUUGCUAAGGAUUUCAUUUUACUUGGGUCCACAAUCAACGCCCACGGAAGUAGCAGUCAAGAAAUCAAAUGAUGUACUGCACUGGGCAGAUCUAUUUAAAGUAUUGAAAAGCAAAGAUGUCACUUUGAGGACUAAGGCACCUGACCCAAGCCAUGAUGUCUUCAGUCACUUCAUGUGCAUGCAAAACCUGGGCGAUGAAUACAGAAGACUUAAGAAGAAUUGAUGCCUUUGAUUUAUGGCAUUGCUGAAGACUGUUGACUAUACCAUGGAGUGCCAGAGGUUAAGAACAAGUCUGUCUUGGAAGAAGUAGAGCCAGAGCGCUCCUUGGAAGCAAGGAUGGCAAGACUUCCUCUCAUGUACUUUGGACAUGUUAUUAGGAGGGACCUGACUUUGGAGAAGGACAUCAUACUUGAUGAGGUAAAGGGUACAUGGACGAAAUGGACUAACACAGUGGCUGCAACCUGGGGCUCAAACAUAGUGACGAUUUUGACGAUGGUGCAGUACAGGGCAGUGUUUCCUUCUGUUGUACCAAGGGUCACUAUGAGUUGGAACCAACUUGACAGCACGUAACCACAACAACAAAAUUAGGUAAUUCAUUCAAAUUCACACAAUAAAUGAAGAGCUGGACUGUGAAUGGAAAACAGACAGUUUGAAUAAAGAGCUCAAGAUACUUACUGAGAAGCUGCCAUGUUGUGAGCUGCCCUAUGGAGAGGCCCACGUGGCAAGGAACUGAGGGCAGCCUCUGGCCAACAGCCAGUGAAGAUCUGAAGCCUUCCGUCUAGCAACUGGUGAAGAAAUGAAUCCUGCCAGCAACCACGGGAGUGAGCGUGGCUCUUCCUCAUUCAAUCCUUCAGAUGAGACAACAGCCCCAGCCGUCACCUUGAUUGCAGCCUUGUGAGAGGCAGUGAGGCAGAGGCACGUAGCUAAGCUAUACCUGUAUUCCUGACCUACAGAAACUGUGAGAUAAUCUUUGUAGUUUUAAGCCACUAAGUUUUGCUAUGCAGCAAAAGAUAGUCAAUACAAAUAUAUAACAAUAAUGCAUUCAUUUUCCGUGGCGGCUGUAAUGGAUUACCACAAAUUUCAUGGCUUCAAAGAAGAAACAUACAUCAUCUGUUGGUUUCGGAAGCUGAGAAAUCUGAAAUCAGUAUCAAUGGGCAAAAAACUGAGGUGUUCUCAGCAUCAUACUUCCUCUGGAAACUCUGGGGGGUGGAUCCAUCCGUUCCUUGCCUCUUCCAGCUUCUGGUGACUGCUGGCAUUCCUGGGCUUGAGGACACAUCACUUCAGUCUUCAGCAUUAAUGAUGGCGUAGGCAUGCCUUCCCUAGUGUGACAUGCCUGAGCAGGUGUGCAGAUGGUUAAAGGAAGCUGGAGAUGGCACCGGAUGGCAGAUGGCGACUCCUUGUAAUGGUUCCAACAACACAUUGAACAUUCUGUCCCUCCUCUGACAUGCAUCACUUCAGAUGGCAACCUCUUUUGGAGCCAGGAUCCAUCUGACAUCAGCAAUGAUAUCCCUGGUUCCAUGUCCUCUUCUGAAACCAGCCUGAAUUUCUGGCAGUUUCCUGUGGAUAUACCGCUGCAGCUAUUUUUGAAUGACCUUCAGCAAAAUUUUGCUUGCAUGUGAAACAUCAGAUAAUGAGAUAGUUGAUAAGUGAGGAGUGAGCACAGUCUGAAAUUUUCCGUCGUUUACAACCACAAAGGUAUGUAUUAUGCAUGUCCAUCAUGGAUUGACUGCUCCAAAUUACCACUUUGGGACUCAGGCUAAAAGUACAUUAUGGGGAUGUUGCCAGUUUCAUGGCACAGGGAAAGAAGAAAUGGCCAACUAUACAGUGACCAAGAAAGGAUUGUCAUGGAAGUAACACAUGUUACUCCUGUUCACCUGUUAAUGUCUCAAGAAGUCACAUGGUCAGCCAUGAUGUCAACAAGGUGAAGAGGACACCACAGGGGCGGGAACUGGAGUAUUUGAUGAAGGAGUAAUAGAAUCUAUCACAGUCCCAUUUAGACUCUGCUGAUGCUGUGUUGACAUCACGUCCCUGUUCAGAGAACCAUCAGAACUCUUCUUCUUGUCCUUUUACCAGUAAGAAUUCAAAUUUAUAAAAUUAGUUUAAAAUUAGAAACUGGAAGAUUCCCAUUUUACUAAGAUUUCGACGUUAAUUGGCACAUUUGUUUUCCAAUCAGUAUUUUUGUAUCACAUAUUAGGUACAAAUCAUCAAGCAAAAGCACUAGUCCUGCCUUAAGGGAGGUCAUACUCCAGUGGUUUAAAACAUGUGAGGUCAGUUAAAUAACGCUUCUAGCAAACGUCUAUAGUUUUAAUCCCACACUCUGCGGAACCUCUUCCCAUUGGUUUUAGCAGGUAGUUUUGAUCCUGAAUUAUAGGUUUUUAUAUAAUUAUAAGCCAGCUGCCUUCCUGUCCGCUCUGACUUGUGGCAACCCCAUGUGCGUCAGAGUAGAACUGUGCUCUGCAGGCUUUUCAGUGGCUGGCUUUUCCGAAUUUGAUCUACAGGCCUUUCUUCCAAGGUGCCUUUGGGCAGACGCAAACCUCCAACCUUUUGGUUAGUAGCUGAGUGUUAACUAACCGUUUGCACCACCCAGGAAUUAUUAUAUAAUUUUAGAAAUACUUAAUUUAAAAAUAAAGUUAUAUUUCUUAAGCCUAAGGGGGUAUUGUUUUGUUAAUAUAGUUUUAUUUUAACAAUUUGUCUUACGUUUGUGGACUCCAGUACAAAUAUUCUGAGGGUGGGGGCACUUAAGGUCCUCAACCUUAUACUUCUGGAAGAAGCAGGAACUGGAUUUGUGAACCCUUCUUUUGCCCAUUGGACAGCAGAGACGUUUGCUGAGGUGCUUGUGAGCAGGAAGCUGUGUGUUAGAGCGUCAUUGAAAUUCAUGGAGAAGCCACCACUGGGUUGCUGGUGAAACCUGCCGGAGGGCGUCCAUUUCUGGGUCCCCUGCACACCACUGGCCAGGAACCCACCUGCAGCCCACAGCAGCAAGACCAGAACCUGGAAGGGAGGCCCCACGGUCUUACCGGGGCCCUUUAGUGCCCUCUACUGACAAGGCCUAACAUUGUGCCCAUCAGGCAAGAGGGAAAAAUAACGAUUGCAGUUAGUUAACCUGUGACUCAUGGUGACCACAAGUGUGUCACAGGAGAACUGCUUCACAGGGUUCUCAGUGGCUGAAUUUUUCGUAUCCAGAAUCACAGAGCAGGGCAAAAAGGGAUAGAUUCGUAGCUGAGAAGUAAUAAGUUGAUAACUAGCAAAAUGACUAUACAAUUUAUUGUCUAAACUAGAAAUCAAAAGUGAGAGCCAAUGAUAUUUAUAUUGAGCCUAUAGGUAUAAACAAGUACUGUCCUGGAGGAAACUUUGUUGUUGUUGCGAGGUGCCGUUGAGCGAGUUCCAAUUCGUAGCAACCGUGUAGGACAGAGUAGAAUUGCCCCAUAGGGUUUCCAAGGACCAGCUGGUAGAUUUGAACUCCCAACCUUUUGGUUAGCAGCCAAACUCUUAACCACUAAGCCACUAGGCCUUCUGGAAGAAACUAGAGAUAUGGUGACCCUGCAUGGGAGCUGUGUCUGUUGGGAUGAACAGAAUCUGGGCAUGGGGAAGAAGAGAAGCCAUGACGAACAUGCCGGUUCCAGGAAAGAGUGUGAGUGGGCACUGGAGACACUGAGCAGUUAAAUUUGGCUCAGGCGUGUGUGUGUGAGAGACAUGUAAAUGUAAAGGUGAAAUUAUAGUUAUUACUAUUUUUUUGAAUAAAGCAUUGGGGUGAAAAAUUUAAGAACUUUAUCUUAAACCCUUUACGUUCCAUAAAUUUGAAGUUAUUCUUUACAAGCGUCUGUGUUUCCUGGCCACGAUUCCCCCCUUCAGGGUGCGAGUUAAAUACAUCAAGUGUUUAUUGUGCUGUGUCCUAUCCAGAGAACUCACUGCCUUCUGAAGGGCUGGUUCAGUUGUUGAAAUUAAAUGAGGUUGUUUGGGGGUUCUCGAAAUUAGGUGAAGGAAACUUAGAGGAGAAUUUGUUCAUUGUAAAUCUUUGAGUCUGACUUUAUUUUGUGAAACUAUUGUCUAUAUAAGAGAAAAUGGAAAAGGGUUGAAAAUUUACCUUUCAUCUCUUCUGUAAUAUGUGAUAUGAUUCAUACCAAAAAAAAGUCAGGUUAUUUUUCAAGUGUGUGUGUGUGUGAGAGAGAGAGAGAGAGAAAGAAAGACAGAGAGAAAAUUCUUAGCCUAAAUUCUAGGAACAUAUAAUUUUCAGGGCGAAAGCUGGUGAUUUUUCUUCAACUUUUUCCUUCUUCACCCAAUGCAGCCCCCAGUAAUAGCUCUUAAAAGAAAUGUGUCAUCCAAACUCUUUACACAGAUGAUGAAGAAACACAGGGCCGGAAGGGUAUAGCGGUUUCCUCAAGUCACCAGCUAGUUCGUGGCAGAAGCAGGCUUUCUGCCUCUCAGGUCAACAUCCCUUCUUUCCACCAGGGUUUCUUAUUUAUCUGUAAACCCAGGAAAGUACUUAUGACAACUCCAGUAUCUGAAUGUGUCAUGUAAGGGAAAGUGAACCCCUGAGAUCCGUCUCUGGCUAUUUGCUUUCUAGAUAAAGGGGUGCUGGAUUCAACUGCAGGAGUCCCUGGGUGAUGCAGAUGGUUCAUACAUUCCACAGCUAACCGAAAGGUUGGAGAUUUGAGUCCACCCAGAGGUACCUCAGAAGAAGGGCCUGGCAAUCUAAUUCCAGGCAAAUAAGCUAUUGAGAACUCUACAGACCUCAGUUCUACUCUGACGUUCAUAGGGUCUCUGUGAGUUGUAAGCGGCUCGAUAGCAGCUGGUGUGAAUUCAGUUGUUUUUGUGCACCGCCCCACCGGAGUGAUCUUCUUUUUUCUCUUCUUCCUCACUGUUUUCUGUUAAUCUUUUUUUCUUUCAUUUCUUGCCCAACUCCCCCAAAUCUCUAUUAUCUUCCCUCUCCUUUGUCAAAGUUACACAGGUUUGGAGAACAGAGGCUGGGUUCCUUUGGGAGGCAAGGGUCAUGCUCUGGUCGCCUGUCUUGCCACUUACCCAGCUAGUACGUCUUCGCACGGUUCCCUCUACCCUAUGGUAUUUCUUGAGCCUCUGGCUCCAAAACUCUCACAGUCUAAUCCUGACAUCUGGUAAACCAUGUUGGGAAAGCGUCUUCUGGAAUUUCCAUACAUCCCUACACAUUCCAGAUAAUAAAUGAAAAGUAUUUGGGUAGAAGAAAAAAAAAAAAAAAAAACGAGAAAUGAACAAAUCCUCAAAAGUUUACUUUAGAUUGAUUUAUUGGCUGACCUCUCUGUACCUUUCUAACAAAAUUGCUAUUAAAAACAGGCCCAUCUAUUCCUAUUCACCAUAUGUGACCCCAUUAAAUUCAGGACCAGCCUUCCAUUGUGUGGAACUCUACAGAGAUUUGCAGGUCUGUUUCCAGGGUUUUAACUUCUCCAGUGAAACCAAUGACUUUCAUAAAACUGAACAUGAGGGAAAAGACUAAUUUUAAAAAUCUCCAUUUCAUAGGUUAUUAGAAUAUGUUUAAAAACAAUUUAAUAAAAAUCAGCUUUAUAAAUAAUUGCAAAAUAUAUAUUGGUCUCUCUACCUAACCGAAUUUUCGGGCAGUGUCCAGACAGAAGGAACACAGGUAGUGGUCAGCGCAUUUAUUUAUUUAGUUCUUGUCUUUGUCUCUGACAUUGGUCACUUCUUCCUGUGGACAGUCUUAUUUUCUAUAUUAAAUACUAAAUGAAACAUUUAUAGAAACCUUAGAAAUGGCGGGCAGGCAUCCCCAUUUUCUUAAAUCCAUGUUGUCCCAAACUCUUUAAGUAAGUUCAUGAAAAUGUGUAAAAUCGCUUUAUUAACCAGGAAAAUUGCAGUUAAAAAAAAAAAUCACAGUAAUGUUAAGAGAAAAAGACAAAUCCGGUUUGGACUAAUAGCUGUGUGAUCUUGUCAGCAAGUCUUACUUCACAGAAGGUCUACAGUGCAGAAAACUAUAAAUAAAGUAGUAUCUCCAAAACCUUGAAAAAGGGCUGUGCUACUCUUUUCUCCUGCCUAAUGUAAAAAUAUGUGACAAAGUAAGAGAAUUCGAAAAAACCCCUCUUCCCAUACCCUGGCCGGCUAAUUCAGACCAACUGGGAGAAAUCACAUGAUGGACAACACUUCAAAAAUCCAGGCUAAAAAAUUGCCAAAUCUAUGAAUAGCAGAUAUGGGAACCAGCCCAAGACUUGUGUGUAGAAGGGUGACAGAUAAAAAUAGUGCCCUAAAUUUUUCAAAGGUGAUUUGAAACCUCCCAAGUAUAGAUGACCUUGCUACUGAAAAUAAGAUGACAAGGGCAAAGUUGAGAUUGCGAGCCCGUUUUAGGAGCCUCUGGACUUAAACUCUGGUUCAGAAAUGAAGGGCUGGUUUUUCCCCCUCAUCAGCAAGCUGCACACAAGCACGGAGCAUUUCUUUUUCUUUGACGAAUUCUUAAUAUAUUUAUCCUUCCCCUCUGCUCCUUUCAAAAAAAGAAGGCAGCAGCUCAGCGUCUUGAGUUUUCAAAGCAUCCCAUUUUCAGUUCCCUCCUGCUGAUGAAAGCAGUGUCCAGAAGACGAGAGAGAGGCUCAGCAUCAAAAUAAAAUAAUAAUAAUAAAAAAUUCUCACAUCAUAAACCAUUUUUUUUUCCUGGGCACUCUUCAUCCUGCCUCUGCCACCACACUGUCCUUGGGAUCAGUGGAGGUGUGGCAGGCAGCUGCUUAAAUAGAAAAGUUUUCAAAACUAGCCGGGCCCCAAAUCAACGAGGUAUAAAGAUAAAGGCCACCCGGCUUUUUAUUAUUUUAUGCUUUUGAGGAGGGAACAAAGAGUGUGGGAAGAAGUGAAGUUGUUUGUGAGUGUCCAUGUCUAAAGUUCCUCGCAUCUCUUUAUGUUGAUUAAAAUAUCCUCAGAUGUCUCCAGCCCUCUCUAAGCUGGAUAUGGGGAGCUUGGUGACAAUGUGGAACGCCAUUAGUGAGAUUUCUUUUGGUGACAGACAGAUGUAAAUGUAUCCAUCUUAUUCUCCAUUUUCAGGUCUCUGUCUGCAGAUGGAUGUUAAUAAUUAGCAGUUGCAUCUCCUCCCUCUUUAUCAAAUUGGAUUCUCCAUAAAUUCAUCAUUUCCUUUUUAUUUUCUCAAAGUAGCAGCAGCCCUGACAGCCUCCCUUUGUUCUUGUAUUUAUAAAUAAUUUAUAACACAGAAAUAUCUCUUCUUAGUCUUAAAACAUAAACUAAUGGAAUAACACAACACACUGCCCAAACUACCUUCCACUUGGGGAGAGGGCUGGGGGAGGGAUAAAGCUUCAUUCUUAACAAAGGGAGACUGGAGAUCCUAUGGAAAAAACGUUCAUCUACCUGAAUAUAGAUUUUUUGGUUUUAAUUUUGUUUUGCCCCUCCAGAUUCUAGCAGUAUAUGGGAGUUCUAGACAACAGAAAGCCAAUUCUUUUGUAAUUGCUUUUCCAAAUAGUAUACCUUGUUUCAAUCCCCAAAUAUACAAUGCAUUUCAUUAAGCGAUGCAGAAAGGAGACUAUUAUUCAAUUAAAACAUCCACAGAUGCUAAAAAUAUGCCAUGGUACAUUUAUUCAACAACUGUAUGCUCAUAACCCGUGCACAAUCUUUAAACACCAAAUUACAGGGAUUUGGUCCAAAUUAGCAAUAAAAUACAAUGUGUUUGCCCUCUACUGGGUAGUAAUGACUGCGUAGUUUUCCUUGCAUACCCAGUGGCCUUGUAGGCAGCUUCAUAACUGUUGCAAGUAGUCACUAACACAGUGUUAUAAACAAAUAGGGCCAGGCUUUGUGCUAAUUAAGGUAAACAGAACUGUGGAAUCAGUUUGUGGAAGCUAAGAUCUUCAGGGGAGGUGGUUUAAAAAUUUUUUCUAACAUUGCUCUAGGCUGGCACAUCACAUCAUAGGCGAUAGCUUAUAAGUCAUCAUUUGCUGUCCUGGAAAUACAUUCAGGUUGCAGAUAAAUAACCCGCCUAACAAUGCUAAUGCAGAAUGUCUGGCAUGUAACUUAGAUAGGAAUCUGAACACCUCCUUACAUCAGCUGCUAAGAUUUUGCACCGAAGCAGAAAUAACGUCUUAUCUUCCAUCUGGAAAUGGGACACAGAACGGUGACACAAGUUAUUUACAGAGUUACUGCAAAACAAGAGCAGUAACAGAGUAACCACAAAGCAACUCCCUGGGUUACUGUUGGAAUAUAAUGCCAGAUAAAUAAUGGUGCCAGGGUAAAUAAGUUGGGAGAUGCCUUAUUUUAUAGAGCAUAAAUGUAACUCGUGUGCCUGCGUUGGUGGAGCUUUUCUUCGCACGUUGGCUCCUGAAGCAUCUCUCCAAGCCCUAGCUGACCCUGCAGAGAAACAAAUGUGUGCCUGUAACGUCUGUGCAGUUCUACCUCUCAGGAAGUUGCGGGGACGGGGGGCGGGAGUGGGCAUGUCCCCAGCCAGCGUUGUAGCCUCAGUACAGCCAGAGAGACCAAAUACCUUUAGAUUUAAACUGAUGGAAUGAAGAGACUGGACUAGACUUGAGAGGAAUUUGGCCGGUAUUCCGGGUCAGGUCGUCUCUCACGGUCCCAAUUGUCUUCCACUUGGCACAAGAUUUAUUUUUCUCUCUUAAAAAUGGGGUGGGAUUAAUAUCCUGACUAGGGGCUUUGGAAUGUUUUCUCCCCGGAAACAGCAGCCAGUAUUGUUGGUCAGAGUGAUUCAGGCAUGAGGCGUUGAGUGUAAGCUUUUUUUUUUGUUGAGGUACUGGGGGACAAAAUAAUUACUGGCUUGCCUUGCAGCCCAACAAUUAAGAAGAAAUGAAAUCCUUUCUUUUGGCUUAAAAACAUUUCUCUUAAGUACUGGGGCUCCUCCCCCUCCCACCGGCCCACCCACAGGAUGUCUUUCCUGACUCUGCCUUUAUCUCUGGGGUUUUUUUGGGGGGCAGGGAUGUAGCAGUAUAUCUCAGAGAAAAAUAUUUUUUUAUUCAAAGCACAGAAUGUGAAGUGCCCUGGUGUCUACUUUCUUGUUGUUCCUUUGGAAACCGACAUAACUGACUUGACGGAGUGUGUAUGUGGUGGUGGGGGCAGGGGAGGGAGAGUGGAGAGAGGUAAGGAGGCAGGACGAGAAUGUUGCCUACAUUGGGGUAGAGAUUUCUGUAUGAGAAAAACACAGUGUUGACUCAGUUUGCUCGGAUUGAGAGAAUUGAGCGGAGGAAGAAUAAGAUACCCCAGAAUUUAGUUAAUAGAUAAUAUCCACUGGAAUGAUGGUCUGACAGGAUCAGAGCAUCUUCCAAAACUCUGGGAUUUUCCUGUCUACUGUGCUCUAACACAUAAGGCAGGGCAUUUGUCUCUCCAUUCGGGUCCUUGUCAUCUUGUUAAUUCUGUACUUAGCUAAAUGGCUGAAGAUGUUUUGGUUUGUAAAGCAGUUCUCAUUCCCAGCUGCAUUAAACUGCUAUUAUUAAUUACCUCCUUUGGCCUAACUUUCUGCCUCCAUGGCACACGUAUUGUCAGGCUCUGUGCGGUUAUUGGAAGGCUGUGCCAUACACAAAGGCAUUAAGCUUAAAACAAUAGAGGCUGCUUAGUUGAUAGCAGAAGAUGUCAGGUGGAGACAAGCACAGUUGGCUGGAGGUGACUUGAAGCUCGUCAUAAGGAGAGAAGGGGUGAGGUGAUCACAGCACAGCAUUAACUGCGUCUGAGGGACACACAGUUCUACAUGGCAGCUUCCAUCACAGUUCUACAUGGCAGCUUCCAUCAUGCACUUCCCAUGGAAGAAGAGGGGAGACGGGCUCUGAGUCGAUGAUGGCUGAAUGGAGAAUCAAUUAUAGUGUAUGACAAGACACUUUCUCUCUUUGUUUAAUAUAUAAACCAGGAACACUUAUGAAUUGAUAUUAAUUAAAGUAAUGUAUUUGCUUUCUUUCAACAAUAAUGUCAGCCUUGUUAAAAAGUGGAAUGCUAAAUCUUCAUUAGACUUUCAAUAUUAAAAACUUGCAUGAAAUAUGAGUUACCAUUUAACUUGUUGCUAGUAAGAUUAAAGGGGAGAGAAUGCAGUAGGCUUUUGGGCUUGUGGACAAAAGCAGAGGCAGCUUUCCCAAGCCAGGGAAUAAGUUGGUCUCCAGAGGCAGCCUGGAUCAGGGAAUCAUCCGUCAUUACCUUCAAGCAGCAGUGACUGCAUCCCAAGUGGAAUUACGGACUGCUACUGCAUCCGUGGGAUUACGUAAAUAUCAAAAGACUAAUGGAUGGCAGAUCAAAAACAUGUCUGAACACUAAAAUAUGGUUUAGAAAGGUCCUUAUAACUCUGCUAGUAUGUAUUUGGGGGUCAUGAACAAAAUAUUCCUGGUUUGGAAAGAAAGCAUGUACACAUUUCAUUUUUCCACACAUGGAAAAAUGACAGGAAAGCUUAAAGGGCUUUUACUCCACUAGGUUAAAUUUUGGAAGUGAGGGACUUCUUGUAGUGGAACAGGUGGGUUAAACUCUUUUGUUCCUUCUCUUCAGAGAGGCGGGUAUUUGACGUCUUCUGAUCUCGUUGCACUGGUGGCCUGAAAUUAGAACAGAUGUAAUUGGCAUGACUAGCCUGACACCUCAUAUCACAUCCAAAAAUACAUUAUGAAACUCAGAUGAUCUUAUCGGCAAUGUGUUGUCUCAGGAAACUCUAAGAUAUUUAAGACCAUGUGAAAAUGUUUUUAUAUAUUGAAGCAGAAACAUCCAAAUUCAUUAAGAACAAAGCUCUAGCAUACUCAUCUGCCUGCCAGCUCUCAGCCUUGUGUGAAUUCAUCUGCUUUGGUCGACUGAUUUGAGUUCCUUCACUUCUGCAUGUUAUCUGGGGCUGGCAUACUUCUGUGUUUGUAUCAUUGCGAAGAGCAUUCCUGGCCCUCCUGGCUGGAGUUGCUGUAUCAGCGGACGUGGAUGUACAAGACAGUUCUCUCAAAAUGGAUCACAGACCUGUUAUCUAUUAAUAUAAUCUGUCCUUGCCCAGGAGCCUCUCAUAUUGGAUCCAGUUGCAUAUUGGGUGAAUGUAGCAACAGUUAGACUCAAUAGCCCACCCCAACCUCUUGUUUAUUAGAAAGAAAUAGUAUACUCCUAAGAGACCCUCCUAGAUAAGCGUUUCAAUUACAUUGGAAGAGACCACAGGAGACAGAUGCCAGUGAAGGUGUUGAAGUGGUAGGGGCCUCAUAGCUUAAACAACCUUGCACAUGGGCACCCUUGUGAUCCUGGCCGGCACCUUCUCAUACACUGGAGCUGGUGUCAGUUUUAUUUAGUGCCCUGCCUGUUCCCUUACACUGUAGCGCUCACUUCUCCUUGUGUCCUGUCUGCUCGGAAUCUAUAGGUCUUUGCUUUGGACAACUGGUGCCGCAGUUUUGUUGGUGCCCUGAGCAUGUGCUUACCUUGCUGAUUAGGUAACCUGUCCCUGCCAGCACUUUUAAAUCCCUUUACAUGCUGCUGUAUGUUGACAUUUCCCUGAGUCCUUUCUCUCUCCCAAAAUAAAUGCUAUCUUGAAUUUUAUGGGAACCAUUCACAUUUUUUCUUUGUUGUUUUAUGUAACAUAUGUUGCUGUUAGAUGCCAUUGAGUCACUUCCGACUCACAGCUACACUAUGUACAACAGAACGAAACAUUACCCAGUCCUGUGCCAUCUUCACAAUCGUUGUUAUGCUUGAGCCCAUUGUUGCAGCCACUGUGUCAGUUCAUCUUGUUGAAGAUCUUCCUCUUUUUCUCCGACCCUUUACUUUACCAAGCAUGAUGUCCUUCUCCAGGGACUGAUCCUGCCUGAUAACAUCUCUAAAGUAUGCGAGAUAAAGUCUCAUCAUCCUGUCUUCUAAGGAGAGUUACGGCUGUACUUCUUCCAAGACAGAUUUGUUCAUUCUUUUGGCAGUCCAUGGUAUAGUCAAUAUUCUUCAGGGUUGUAUCCUUUCACCACACUUAUUCAAUCUGUAUGUUGAGCAAAUAAUCUGAGAACCUGGACUAUAUGAACAAGAAUAGGGCAUCAGGAUUGGAGAAAGACUCAUUGACAACCUGCAUCUUGCAGAUGACACAACCUUGCUUGCUGAAAAUGCAGAGAACUUGAAGCACUUACUGAUGAAGAUCAGACUACAGCCUUCAGUAUGGAUUACGCCGUAACAUAAAGAAAAUAAAACCCUCACAACUGUACCAGUAAGCAACAUCAUGAUAAAUGAAGAUUGAAGUUAUCAAGGAUUUCAUUUUACUUGGAUCCACAAUCAACACCCAUGAAAGCAGCAGCCAAGAAAUCAAACAACGCAUUGCAUUGAGCACAUCUGCUGCAGAAGACCUCUUUAAAGCGUUCAAAAGCAAAGAUGUCACUUUAAGGAUGAAGGUGAGCCUGAUCCCAGCCGUGGUGUUUUCAGUUGGCCCAUAUGGAUGCAAAAGCUGGACAGUGAGUAAGGAAGACUGAAGAAGAAUUGACGUCUUUGAAGUAUAGCAAAGAAUAUGGAAUGUUGUAUACACCCUUAAAUGACAUAUUGUUUUGUCAUGUUUUUGAACUCCAUAUUUAUGGCAUUAAGAAGUAUGUAUCUUCUGCAGCUUACUUUUUUCAAUUGAGAUUGUUUGUGACAUUUCACGGUAUAUGUCUAUAACUAUAGUUCAUUAGUUUUUACUGUUACAGAGAAUCCCAUUGUUUGAGUAAGAUGCAAAAUUUUUACAUUUUCUUUUCGGUGGACAUCUGGGUAGUUUCCAUUUUUUGCUGUUAUAUGGAAUGCCUAUAAAUAUUUGUGCAGAAGUCUCUGGGUGCAUGUGCAAGAAUUUUUCUAGGGUAUGUACACUGGAAUGGUGCUACGGUUUAAAUUAUGUCCUCUAAAAAGAAAUGUGGAAGUUUUAAUUCCUGUCCCUGUAAAUAUGACCUUGUUUGGAAAUAGGGAUUUUCUUUUGUUAUAUUAAUGAAGUCACACCAGAGUAGACUGGGUCGUAAACCUAAUCACAAAAUAGACACAGACACACACACACAGGGGGACAACAGAUGCCAUGUGAGGUCCCAUCUAUAAGCAGAGGAAUGCCAACAGUCUCUAGCAGACACCAGAAGGUAGGUGGUUGGCCCACAGAAGGAAUUAACAUGGCCAAGACCUUGAUUUGGAUUUUAGCCUCCAUAAGUGUGGGAAAAAAAAAUUUUUUUUUUCUUUAAAGCAACCUACUUGUGGUAUUUUUUGUUAUGAUAGCACUAGGUAAAUGAGCAUACUCAUCUUAAAAUUUACAAAGAUUAUGAAACAUUUCCUACAGUAGCUGAGCGAAUUUCAACCCUCAUCAGUAUGUAUGCUAAAAUUUGAUAUUGCCUGACUAUUAAAAUUUUGUCAUUGGGGUAGCCAUGAAAUUAUAGUUUUACUUUUCAUUUACCUUAUUUGUAAAAAGGAUUGUCUUUUCGUGUUUAUUGAUUUUUUUUUUUUUUCC